UACAGGUCUCAGGACUUUGUGUGGAGUGU
rnacentral:piRNA from 1 species